rnacentral:lncRNA from 10 species
CAAGGAUCACCAGACUUGACGAAAGCAAAGGCAUAGAACCCAGAAAACAGGGAACCCAACACUGGAAAGAGAUGAACCAAAUAACCAGGAUAAUGGAAAUAACUUCUAAGACAAUAGCUCUGCAGCAGACCAAGAAAGAAACCAGAGGAUAUGGAGCAAGAGGACAGAGGAUGUCUUCCAGGAAAAAGUGCAACUAACAGGUUACCUGAAGUAUUUGACUACAUUGAGGGGAACUUUAUAGUUUUGUAAAUGAAGCUCUUAUAAAUUAAUGGGCACAGAGACAAGAUCCCAACGAUUCAGAAUUAAUUAAAUACCUCCAACUUUGAAUAUUACCGCUUUGUGACAAAACAGAGAAAAGAGCAAAAGUAGAACUUCGACCUUCAUAUAGUCAUGAAAAGCAAAACAAAAACCAUUAAUAGAGUGUUCUUACUAGUGCCUUUUAUUAUAGCCUGCCUGCCUGGCUGCUCCCAGAUACGAACUGGCCCCCAGCCCCUAGAAACCUUGAGUACCCCAGAAGUGGUCAGCCCUGCACUGUGGAAUAGACGUAGGUCCCUAGUUGGUGCCUUCAAACUGUCUUCCACUCUGAUUGUCUUUGACCUCUAGAGUAAUUUAAAAACAGAUGAUGUUUUGCUAUGGAAAGUUCUGCUUCUGGAGAUAGGCCCAAACUUUGGAUUUGGGGAAAUUUUGCAUCUAUUGCUUAAUAAUUCCCAACACACAUCAUAAAACCCCCACGAUCUGGGCACUUUAGUUCACCGCACUGAAAAAAUAAAAAUAAUAAAAAAACAACAAAGGCAGUUUAUUUCCCACAGUAAGUUGAAAGGGAGAGCUGUAGUCCCUGCGGGGGCAGGAUAGGCAUUUUUCUCCUCUUCUUACCCAGAAGGAAGCCUUUCCUCUCACUCUAGUCCUUCCUUACUCCACAGGAGCUGCUGACCUGGCUGCUCAGAUUCUAGGACAUUAAUUUGGGGUCCUGUUCACCAGGGGGCAAGGGUACUAGGAGUUGGUGGCUCUCUCAUCUUCUGCAUGUGGCAGUGAAUGGAUUUGGGGCAGGUGUGCCAGCUUCCUUUCUCUCCUGAAGACUCCCCUGUUUGCCUGAGGCCUCAGCCACUCGCCCCAGUCCUCUUCACUGUCAUUUUGCACACAGCAGCAGUCCUCCACAUUUAAGGAGCAUGCAAACCACAAGACGGGCUUGUUAAGGCACAGACCACGGCACCCUACCUAGAGUGUCUGAUUCCACAGGUCAGGGUGGGACCUAAGAAUCUGCAUUUCUAACAAGUUCCCAGGUGAUGCUGUUGCUCCUGGUCCAGGGGCUGCAUUUUGAGAACCACUGGCCUAGCGUUUCAGACCUCGUCCCAGUUUAUGAUAAAGCAGUACAUUGCUUUCUUAUACAAAUUGGGUGUCCCUGGCUGGGUGCGGUGGCUCAUGCCUGUAAUACCGACACUUUUGGAGGCCGAGGCAGGUGGAUCACCUGAGGUCAGGAGUUCGAGACCAUCCUGGCCAACUUGAUGAAACCCAUCUCUACUAAAAAUACAAAAAGUAGCCGGACGUGGUGGUGGGUGCUUGCAAUUCCAGGUACUCCGGAGACUGAGGCAGGAGAAUUGAUUGAACCCGGGAGGCAGUGAGCUGAUAUCACGUCAUUGCACUCCAGUCUGGGCGACAAGAGCGAAACUCCGUCUCAGGAAAAAAACAAAACAAACAAACAAAAAAAAACUGAGUGUUCCUGGGACUGUAGAUGAAUGCCUUCAAAACUUCACUCUGAGGCCUAAGAAGAGUAAUAAAAUUAUUAAAUUAUCCCAGAAAUAGAUCAUGGGUUUUAUGAGGUAAUAAGAAGAAACUCAAAAGGGUUUGGAGAGGAAGAGGCCUGAGAAUCUCAAGGAGGACUGACCACAUGUCCUCCAUGAGGCUUCAGAGGCAGGGAGAGAGGGCUCGGCAGACACCAGGAAGUAUUUUUGAGCUGCAAUGGCAAUGAAAUAAGCCCUCCAAGGAAGGCUGUGGAAAUCCUGUCCCCAGAGGCCUUUAAAUACAGGAUCAAUGACCAUUUCACUUUGUCGGCUUGAAUCUGGGUUAAAAAACACAUAACUGGAACAAUCACGAUUGAUUUGACCCUCACUCUCUUCCAGGAACUAUGCUAAAUGCUAUAUAUUAUUUUACUUUAUUCUCAUAACAACUGUAUGAAGUUGCUGCUAAUAUCCUCAUUUUACAAAUGAGACUAAGACCACAAGGGCCUCUUGCUCAUGUACCUGGGAAGUAGCAGAACUUAAAUCCAAAUCCAUAUCUGUAUGAUUCCCCAUCCCAAUUUCAAGUAAUGCAUGAAGCUAUAAUUAGGUAUUGGCAUUAUGUACUUUCAGAUUAAAGAGUCAUUCGUGGCCCAGUGUGGUGGCUCAUGCCUAUAAUCCCAGUACUUUGGGAGGCCAAGGCAGGGAGAUCACUUGAGGUCAAGAGUUCGAGACCAGCCUGGCCAAAAUGGUGAAACCGCAUCUCUAUUAAAAAUACAAAAAUUAGCUGUGCAUGGUGGCACAUACCUGUAAUCCCAGCUACUUGGGAGGCUGAGGCUGGAGAAUCACUUGAACCCGAGAUGCGGAGGUUGCAGUGAGCCACGAUCAUGCCACUGCACUCCAGCUUAGGUGACAGAAUGAAACUGCAUCUCAAAAAUAAAUAAAUAAAUAAAUAAAUAAGAGUCAUUCUUGUCCCAGGAGGUUGAGAGGAAGAAAGAUCCUUGUAAUUGAAUGAAAGACACAUGAUUGAUAUGUUUUGACAGGUUGUGGGGGAGGGAGGUGGGGCAAGGAGCAUUGGGAGCAUGAAGGCACUUGCCAGCCAGUGAGGAGCUGGGGGACCUGAGGAGAAUGACCCCAAAGAGGGUGGAGAGAAUGGAAACAGAGCGUAUAGCAUUUACAAAAAUACUAUACUCACAGCAUGCAUGUCAACACCUGUUUCUUCUUUAUUCUUCAUCACAACAAAUGGCACCACUAGCUACACCUGAGCAGAGAACCUGAGCGUCACCUUCCUGUUCUUCUUGCCCACACUCUAAUAGAAAACAAGUUCCAUGGAGGUAGAGAUGGCCCAUGUUAUGUUCCUAGCACCCAGUCAGGUGGUGGGUGGGUCAGUCCCUGCUUAAACCCUGUCAAGUCCUUAUGGUUCUCAGAAUAAAGUUAGUGCUCCUUGGGCGGUUCACAGGUCCUGUGGCCCGCCUCCUGUCCAGCUUUCUCUUCCUUCUCUCUACAGCCUUCUAUUUCGCCCCCUGAAACCAUUCCUUGCUGCUCUCAAUGCCCCACAUGUGGCUUGGAGCCUGUUACUGCCCAGAAUAUCACAGCUACCUGACCCAAACCCAUUCCUCAACCAACUAUCACGUAUUAUUCUUCAGGAUGCAACUUAGAUGUCAC